rnacentral:misc_RNA from 1 species
UUUUGGCUAACUGCGGCUUGCCUUGCUUUCGAGCUUGGUUUGUGGCUAUUAGUUGGGUGGCUUCGGAGAUGUCUACCGUAAAGGUGCAUGAGUGGUGUUUGGUUUGCUACGGGUGGUUGGCUCUUGCUUGUGCAACAACUUCCACCCUACAUACCUCUUCAAUUUUGUGUCAAUGCUUGUAUCGCAUUGAACUCAAUGUGGGUUUCUUGUGUUGCAUGCCUAAAUAAUGGUAUCGCUGGAUGAUUUGAUGUCUAUUUUUGCCUUGUAUUGCACGUGCGAUGCAAGACUAACCAUAUAACAGCCUUUGUGAUCCAUUCUUUAUGACGUGCAAACGUUAAUUUUGUGGCUCAUAGAUUGCUGCUUGGAUUCAUUGAUAUGGAACCUUUUGUGGGCAUUGGACCUUUUUGAAGUUCCUUGUUUGCCCUAGUUACGCUUUUCAAAUGCGAUUUCCUGUCCCGUUUUAACGUGAUAGGCUAUAUCGAUUAUGAAUG